UUGGUUAAGUUAGAAAGGGCGCACGGUGGAUGCCUUGGCACUAGGAGCCGAAGAAGGACGGGACUAACACCGAUAUGCUUUGGGGAGCUGUACGUAAGCGUUGAUCCAGAGAUUUCCGAAUGGGGGAACCCACUAUCUUUAGUCGGAUAGUAUCCUUACGUGAAUACAUAGCGUGAGGAAGGCAGACCCAGGGAACUGAAACAUCUAAGUACCUGGAGGAAGAGAAAGAAAAAUCGAUUUCCUGAGUAGCGGCGAGCGAAACGGAAAGAGCCCAAACCAAGAAGCUUGCUUCUUGGGGUUGUAGGACACUCUAUACGGAGUUACAAAAGAAAGUUAUAAAUGAAGCGGUCUGGAAAGGCCCGCCAAAGACGGUAACAGCCCGGUAGUUGAAAUAGCUUUCCCUCCAGAGUGGAUCCUGAGUACGGCGGAACACGUGAAAUUCCGUCGGAAUCCGGGAGGACCAUCUCCCAAGGCUAAAUACUCCCUAGUGACCGAUAGUGAACCAGUACCGUGAGGGAAAGGUGAAAAGCACCCCGGAAGGGGAGUGAAACAGUUCCUGAAACCGUGUGCCUACAAGUAGUUAGAGCCCGUUAAUGGGUGAUAGCGUGCCUUUUGUAGAAUGAACCGGCGAGUUACGAUUUGUUGCAAGGUUAAGCGGAAAAAGCGGAGCCGUAGCGAAAGCGAGUCUGAAUAGGGCGCAUAAGUAACAGGUCGUAGACCCGAAACCAGGUGAUCUACCCAUGUCCAGGAUGAAGGUAAGGUAAUACUUACUGGAGGUCCGAACCCACGCACGUUGAAAAGUGCGGGGAUGAGGUGUGGGUAGCGGAGAAAUUCCAAUCGAACUUGGAGAUAGCUGGUUCUCUCCGAAAUAGCUUUAGGGCUAGCCUCGAGGUAAAGAGUCAUGGAGGUAGAGCACUGUUUGGACUAGGGGCCCUUCUCGGGUUACCGAAUUCAGAUAAACUCCGAAUGCCAUGUACUUAUACUCGGGAGUCAGACUGCGAGUGAUAAGAUCCGUAGUCGAAAGGGAAACAGCCCAGACCACCAGUUAAGGUCCCCAAAUAUAUGUUAAGUGGAAAAGGAUGUGGGGUUGCUUAGACAACCAGGAUGUUGGCUUAGAAGCAGCCACCAUUGAAAGAGUGCGUAAUAGCUCACUGGUCGAGUGACCCCGCGCCGAAAAUGUACCGGGGCUAAACAUAUUACCGAAACUGUGGAUGAACCUCUUUAGAGGUUCGUGGUAGGAGAGCGUUCUAAGGGCGGUGAAGUCAGACCGGAAGGACUGGUGGAGCGCUUAGAAGUGAGAAUGCCGGUAUGAGUAGCGAAAGAAGGGUGAGAAUCCCUUCCACCGAAUAUCUAAGGUUUCCUGAGGAAGGCUCGUCCGCUCAGGGUUAGUCGGGACCUAAGCCGAGGCCGAUAGGCGUAGGCGAUGGACAACAGGUAGAGAUUCCUGUACCAGUGCUAAUUGUUUAACCGAUGGGGUGACACAGAAGGAUAGGGAAUCGCACGAAUGGAAAUGUGCGUCCAAGCAGUGAGUGUGAGAAGUAGGCAAAUCCGCUUCUCGCGAAGCAUGAGCUGUGAUGGGGAAGGAAAUUAAGUACGGAAGUUCCUGAUUUCACGCUGUCAAGAAAAGCCUCUAGGAAGAGUAGUACUGCCCGUACCGCAAACCGACACAGGUAGAUGAGGAGAGAAUCCUAAGGUGAGCGAGAGAACUCUCGUUAAGGAACUCGGCAAAAUGACCCCGUAACUUCGGGAGAAGGGGUGCUCUAUUAGGGUGCAAGCCCGAGAGAGCCGCAGUGAAUAGGCCCAGGCGACUGUUUAGCAAAAACACAGGUCUCUGCAAAACCGUAAGGUGACGUAUAGGGGCUGACGCCUGC
rnacentral:rRNA from 1 species